CUAGAAAGGGAGAGCAGAGCCCAGGGAACUCCGUGCGGUCCCGCAGGAAGGCCUCCUUGACCACUCACUCUGCGGCCGCCUGGUCAUCACCAGCCCUCAAGGAUUUAUGUUGUUUUCAGCACAGCUCCUGUGGCUGCCUGGCAGAGAGAGGGAGACCGUUCCACCCACUGGCCUACUCCUCAAACGCCCACAACGGGGCCUGGGCCAGACAGGAGCCGGCAGGCCAGAGCUCCAUCCGGAUC